GACGAACGCUGGCGGCGUGCUUAACACAUGCAAGUCGAACGGGCCCGCCCCUGUUUUUGGGGGUGGGUUGAGUGGCGAACGGGUGAGUAUCACGUGAGUAACCUGCCCCCUGCUCCUGGAUAACUGCUUGAAAGGGCGGCUAAUACGGGGUGUGCCGGCUGGUCCGCAUGGGCCUGGUCGGGAUAGUUUCAUCUUCGGGUGUUUCGGUGGGGGAUGGGCUCGCGGCCUAUCAGCUUGUUGGUAGGGUGAUGGCCCACCAAGGCGGUGACGGGUAGCCGGCGUGGGAGGGUGGGCGGCCACACUGGGACUGAGACACGGCCCAGACUCCUGCGGGAGGCAGCAGUGGGGGGUAUUGCACAAUGGGCGGAAGCCUGAUGCAGCGACGGCGCGUGAGGGAUGGAGGCCUUCGGGUUGUGAACCUCUUUCUCCGGUGGUGAAGGCCCUGUCCGUUGCGGCGGGGUUGACGGUAGCCGGGUAUGAAGCGCCGGCUAACUACGUG
rnacentral:rRNA from 1 species